rnacentral:snRNA from 1 species
AUACUUACCUGGCAGGAAGAUAAUAUGAUGAAAUAGGUGGCUCACUCACCUAUUUGAGGUGGGUGGCCCAGCCAUUGCACUCUGGCUAGCUGACCUCUGCGAAUUCCCCAAAUAUGGCAAUCUUGGUUGCAGAAUUUAUGGUAGUGAGAAAAUCGUUCAUGCUCUCC